GACGUAGGGCGCGAGCGUUGUCCGGAUUUAUUGGGCGUAAAGAGCUCGUAGGCGGUCUGUUACGUCUGCUGUGAAAACCCAGGGCUUAACCCUGGGCUUGCAGUGGAUACGGGCAGACUAGAGGCAGGUAGGGGAGAAUGGAAUUCCCGGUGUAGCGGUGAAAUGCGCAGAUAUCGGGAGGAACACCGGUGGCGAAGGCGGUUCUCUGGGCCUGACCUGACGCUGAGGAGCGAAAGCGUGGGGAGCGAACAGG
rnacentral:rRNA from 1 species